GAUGAACGCUGGCGGCGUGCCUAAUACAUGCAAGUCGAGCGAACAGACGAGGAGCUUGCUCCUCUGACGUUAGCGGCGGACGGGUGAGUAACACGUGGAUAACCUACCUAUAAGACUGGGAUAACUUCGGGAAACCGGAGCUAAUACCGGAUAAUAUAUUGAACCGCAUGGUUCAAUAGUGAAAGACGGUUUUGCUGUCACUUAUAGAUGGAUCCGCGCCGCAUUAGCUAGUUGGUAAGGUAACGGCUUACCAAGGCAACGAUGCGUAGCCGACCUGAGAGGGUGAUCGGCCACACUGGAACUGAGACACGGUCCAGACUCCGACGGGAGGCAGCAGUAGGGAAUCUUCCGCAAUGGGCGAAAGCUUGACGGAGCAACGCCGCGUGAGUGAUGAAGGUCUUCGGAUCGUAAAACUCUGUUAUUAGGGAAGAACAAAUGUGUAAGUAACUAUGCACGUCUUGACGGUACCUAAUCAGAAAGCCACGGCUAACUACGU
rnacentral:rRNA from 1 species